rnacentral:ncRNA from 1 species
CCCGGGGGGAGCUUGGGAAGCCAGGCUGAGAGGGCAGCCGAGACGCUGUCGACCCCGAGAACCUGAUCUGGGUAAUGCCAGCGAAGGGACGAGGUU